rnacentral:tRNA from 1 species
GCAUUUUUAGCUCAGUUGGACAGAGCAGCAGCCUUCUAAGCUGAUUGUCACAGGUUCGAAUCCUGUAAAGUGCA